rnacentral:rRNA from 1 species
CCUACGGGAGGCAGCAGUAGGGAAUCUUCCGCAAUGGACGCAAGUCUGACGGAGCAACGCCGCGUGAGUGAUGAAGGUUUUCGGAUCGUAAAACUCUGUUGUGAGGGAAGAACACGUACCAACUAACUAUUGGUACCUUGACGGUACCUCACCAGAAAGCCACGGCUGACUACGUGCCAGCAGCCGCGGUAAUACGUAGGUGGCAAGCGUUGUCCGGAAUUAUUGGGCGUAAAGCGCGCGCAGGCGGUUCCUUAAGUCUGAUGUGAAAGCCCACGGCUCAACCGUGGAGGGUCAUUGGAAACUGGGGGACUUGAGUGCAGAAGAGGAAAGUGGAAUUCCAUGUGUAGCGGUGAAAUGCGUAGAGAUGUGGAGGAACACCAGUGGCGAAGGCGACUUUCUGGUCUGUAACUGACGCUGAGGCGCGAAAGCGUGGGGAGCAAACAGGAUUAGAUACCCUGGUAGUCCACGCCGUAAACGAUGAGUGCUAAGUGUUAGGGGGUUUCCGCCCCUUANUGCUGCAGCUACGCAUUAAGCACUCCGCCUGGGGAGUACGGCCGCNAGGCUGAAACUCAAAUGAAUUGACGGGG